GAAUCCCGUCUUUGGCAUGGAUGACCGGGGCUUUUGUGAUGCGCUCUCGAAGAGUCGAGUUGUUUGGGAAUGCAGCUCAAAAUGGGUGGUGAACUCCAUCUAAAGCUAAAUAUUGGCGAGAGACCGAUAGCGAACAAGUACCGUGAGGGAAAGAUGAAAAGCACUUUGGAAAGAGAGUGAAACAGUACGUGAAAUUGUUGAAAGGGAAACGCUUGAAGUCAGUCGCGUCAGCUGGAAAUCAACCCUGCUUUUGCUGGGCGCACUUUCCUGUCUGACGGGUCAGCAUCAGUUCUGGUCGCUGGAUAAAGUCCUUGGGAACGUGGCAUCCUUUGGAUGUGUUAUAGCCCACUGGCGCAUGCAGCGGCUGGGAUUGAGGAACUCAGCACGGCCCUUGCGAGAGGGCGAUUGGAGGGAGACCUCACAACUUACGUGCUUAGGAUGCUGGCAUAAUGGCUUUAAUCGACCCGUCUUGAAACACGGACCAAGGAGUCUAACAUGCCUGCGAGUGUUUGGGUGGUGAAAACUCAUGCGCGCAAUGAAAGUGAUGGUUGAGAUCCCUGUCAUGGGGAGCAUCGACGCCCAGACCAGACCUUUUGCGACGGAUCUGCGGUAGAGCAUGCAUGUUGGGACCCGAAAGAUGGUGAACUAUGCCUGAAUAGGGUGAAGCCAGAGGAAACUCUGGUGGAGGCUCGUAGCGAUUCUGACGUGCAAAUCGAUCGUCAAAUUUGGGUAUAGGGGCGAAAGACUAAUCGAACCAUCUAGUAGCUGGUUCCUGCC
rnacentral:rRNA from 1 species